GACGAACGCUGGCGGCAUGCCUAAUACAUGCAAGUCGAGCGGAAUGAUGAGAGCUUGCUCUCUGAUUUUAGUGGCGGACGGGUGAGUAACACGUGGGCAACCUGCCCUACAGAUGGGGAUAACUCCGGGAAACCGGGGCUAAUACCGAAUAAUCCAUUUCCCCUCAUGGGGAGAUGUUAAAAGACGGUUUCGGCUGUCACUACAGGAUGGGCCCGCGGCGCAUUAGCUAGUUGGUGAGGUAACGGCUCACCAAGGCGACGAUGCGUAGCCGACCUGAGAGGGUGAUCGGCCACACUGGGACUGAGACAUGGCCCAG
rnacentral:rRNA from 1 species